GCUGGACACAGUGGUGUAUGCCUGUAGUCCCAGCUACUUGGGAGGCUGAGGCGGGAGCAUCACUUGAGUGCAGGAGUUCUGGGCUGUAGUGCACUAUGCCAAUUGGGUGUCCGCACUAAGUUAGGCAUCAGUGUGCCGACCUCCCAGGAGCAGGGGACCACCAGGUUGCCUAAGGAGGGGUGAACCGGCCCAGCUCAGAAACAGAGCAGGUCAAAACUCCUGUUCUGAUCAGUAGUGGGAUAGUGCCCGUGAAUAGCCACUGCACUCCAGCCUGGGCAACAAAGCGAGACCCCAUCUCU
rnacentral:SRP_RNA from 1 species